CUAUGACUGAGUUACUCUCAUACGGUAAAAAACUAUUGUACAACUACGAAAUUGUUCGUGCCUUUUUAUAAUAUUUUUAUGGUUGACAAAAUUAAAGAUAAUUUAAGUCUUGAAUCUUUAAUAUAUCUUGUUUCUACUUUAGUUUUUAAUAUACGUAUUUAAAUAUUUUAUUUAAAUGAACCUUAGAUCUAAGAUAAUGUACAUUAUCUACUAUAACACUAUUAGUGAAAAUAUUAACUUUUCCGGUUAGUAUAUAUUUACAUUAUUAUAAUAUCUUUGAUUCUUAAGUAUACAUAAUUUAUUUUAUAGAUUUAUAACUGAUGAAAAUCAUUAAAAAUAAAAAUGGAUGUACAUUGGUUCGCAAGAUAAAUAUUUAGUUUUAUAUCAUAUUAUACUGCUGGCAUUCCCGAAGUACGUGCUUGAUCGUAAUGAAUGUUCCGCCUUUCGGAAAUAGGACAUAAAGGGCGUCAUACUUUGCCAAGAGAUAGCUGUCAGUCUUGUGACUUAUACGAUUUAUUUGUUUUAUGUUAUAAUACUUACAAUUAUUUAAUUUCAAAUAUUAUUCAAUUAUUCAAUUACUAUAAAAUAUUUCUCAAUAUAUUGUACACACGGUUUUAUGGUAAUAUUGUUCCAUAGACGAGCUGCAUCACUGUGUUAAAUCGGCAUACGGCUCCAUGCUUCAUCAUAAUAAAGUUAUAGACAAUAGGUUAUCCAUACCUUAUCAGUGUUUCAAGAGGGACGCCCAGACUGGUAUAGUUACUCCAAUUUUCAUAAAAUGAGGCGUUUAAUCUAUAUUAAUAUUAUAGUGAUGAAUGAUAAAUCGCUUCAUUUUACCAUUCCUCUAGGAAUAUUGCUUCACUUACAAUUGUUAUAGGAGCACCCUACCCAUUUCUUUAUUCUCUAUGGGUUACAUAGAGGUAUAGAGUUAUUAUUACUCAAUGAAUGGGUAAUACUUAGUAUAGAUCUGCAAGGACCAUCAAAUUUUGGGGCUGUUCGAACUAACAAUUUUAUUUUUAAACCCGGUUCGAUCAAAUCCAAAAUAUUUCGUUAAAUAGAGCCCAGGCCCAGUUCAAUGAUAAUGCUAAUCUCUUAAAAAGUGUUAAUUUAGUAGCUGAUUUUUUUCAUUGCUUUAUUAUUAAACUUAACACUUAUUACGUAAAAUGAUAUCCCUGAAUUAGAUACUACAUUGUUAAUAAUAUAUUAAAUAAUACAUAUUAUCAUUUUCAUUUAAAAUAAUAAUGAUUAUUUUAAUACAUUUUGAAACACCAAAUUAAAAAAAAAAAAAGCUGAUGCUGGGGAUGGAUGCAGCCACUGUUGUAAAUGGGAAGUUGGGAAGAUAGGAUACAUAAGGUUAUUUAAUUUAUAUUUGUAAGCAAAAAUAAACCAUUGAUGACGGAAGACGAUUCCAAGUGCAGUUCGGUAAUUUAUAAUUUGAAGUGU